rnacentral:rRNA from 1 species
GUUUGAUACCCCGAAACUACGUGAGCUACUUCAAGACAGCCUAUUAAUAGGGCAAACCCAUCUCUGUGGCAAAAGCGUGGGAAGAACUUUGAGUAGAGGUGACAAACCUACCGAACCUAGUUAUAGCUGGUUGUCCAAGAAAUGAAUAGAAGUUCAGCCUCUAAGCUUCUCUUUUCACCUGAGCUUAACUCCUUUAGAUGUAUUUAAGAAACUAAGAAAGUUAGUCAAAGGGGGUACAGCUCCUUUGAAUCAAGACACAACUUUAACAGGCGGGUAAAGAUCAUAAUAACCAAAGCUAAACAUUCUGGUGGGCCUAAAAGCAGCCAUCCCUUAGAAAGCGUUAAAGCUCAAACAUAUUCUUAUACCUUAUUAUCUUGAUCAAUAAAUCUCACCCCCCUAACCAUACUGGACCCUCCCCUGCCCCCAGGGGUGUGAUUAUGCUAAUAUGAGUAAUAAGAGAGCCCCGCCUCUCUCCCUGCACACGUGUACCUCGGAACAGACAACCCACCGACCAUUAACGACCCCAAACAAAGAGGGCCCUAGAUCCUAACUCAAAACCUAGUAAAACAUCUAAAAAUUAACCGUUAACCCCACACAGGUGUGCCCCAAGGAAAGACUUAAAAAAAGAGAAGGAACUCGGCAAACACAUUAAGCCUCGCCUGUUUACCAAAAACAUCGCCUCUUGUGCCCCCC